rnacentral:lncRNA from 1 species
UCAGACAAUCCCUUGGUGGUCCUGAAAAUGGUUUGGAGGUCCCUUGUUGGCCCUUGGCAGCCAUGGGAGACGACCCCAUGAAGAAGAAGAUGCAAGCUGCGAGGAAAAGAAAGAGGGAGGAAGAAGAAGACAAAAUUUCAAUGUUUGUUUGGCAAGCCUGAAUAACUGUUCUAUAUUAAUCUCUAUGAAUUUUUUUUUAACUUCCAAUGUUAUUUUUCUUAAAAAGAAAAAGAAAAGAGAAGAAUCAGUUUUACCCUAUCCGUAAUGCAUGUGGAGAACAAACGAAUCUACAAUUUCGAAACCAACAUUUCGAGAAGACAAGAGAUAAGGUCACCAUCCGACCAAAAAAAAAAACAGAUAUAAGAUCACAUGCAUGAAAGCAAGAGGUGCAAUUUACAAAGGCCACACGAAGAAAAAUUUUCUCUUUGUUUUUCCGCGAAAUAAACUUGACUAAGCGUAAUGGCCUUGUAAUCAAAUGAUUAAAAAUAUUUAUAUUUCUAAUUAAGUGGUUAAGAGCAUUGAUUCUUGCACUUAUAUUACCUCUGUAUAAAAAGUAAAAAAACUGAACCAAACUUGUAAAAAAGAUACUAAUUAUAAGUUACAA